CUGGUUGGUGGGGUAAGAGCCUACCAAGGCGACGAUCGGUAGCUGGUCUGAGAGGACGAUCAGCCACACUGGGAUUGAGAACGGCCCAGACUCCUACGGGGGGCAGCAGUGAGGAAUUUUCGGCAAUGGGGGCAACCCUGACCGAGCAACGCCGCGUGCAGGACGAAGGUCUUCGGAUCGUAAACUGCUUUUCUCGGGGAAGAGCGAGGACGGUACCCGAGGAAUCAGCCCCGGCUAACUACGUGCCAGCAGCCGCGGUAAUACGUAGGGGGCGAGCGUUAUCCGGAUUUAUUGGGCGUAAAGCGCACGCAGGCGGUCGUGCAAGUUUGGGGUUACAGCUCCCGGCUCAACCGGGAGAGCGCCUUGAAGACUGCAGGACUUGAGGGCCAAAGAGGGACACGGAACUCCGGGUGUAGUGGUGAAAUGCGUAGAUAUCCGGAAGAACACCAAAGGCGAAGGCAGUGUCCUGGGUGGUACCUGACGCUCAGGUGCGAAAGCUAGGGGAGCGAACGGGAUUAGAUACCCCGGUAGUCCUAGCCGUAAACGAUGACCACUAGGUGUGCGGGGUAUCGACCCCCUGCGUGCCGCAGUUAACGCGAUAAGUGGUCCGCCUGGGGAGUACGGUCGCAAGAUUAAAACUCAAAGGAAUUGACG
rnacentral:rRNA from 1 species